GACCUCUCCCCUUCCUACCCUGCAUCGACUGCAGCUGGUCUGCGGCAGGUGGCGCCCAAUGCGGGGCAGGUAAGGGGGGUAAUCAAUUAAUUAUAGUUCGGUCUUGGGCGGCCUUCACCCCAUAGGGCACUGCAGGCCCCGCACUCAGAGAAAAAGAGUAGGCGUUAAGAGAGGGGUGAAUAGUCAGAACUUAUAGAGAAGAUAAUGGGCCACAAGGGGUCUAAAGAAAGAGGACUCAUUGUUGAUAUUUUACAACACUGUUUGCAAUCUCAUAAGGUUAAGGUUGCUACCAAAAAUUUAUCAGCCUUCCUGGACUUCAUUCAGAAAUGUUGUCCUUGGUUCCCAGAUGAAGGAACUUUCGACAUGGAUACUUGGGGACGCGUGGGAAAAGACACACAGAAAUAUUAUACUGAAUAUGGGCCAGAAAAAACUCCUGUUAAUGCUUUCUCUUAUUGGUCUGUGAUUAAUCAAUCUAUGGGUUUUUCUAUGAUUAAUUCUUGUCCCUCAGAUACUUUUCCUUCAGCACCCCCAGAGGAAACUCCAUUGUUAAAGACUAAAAAAUUUCCUUCCAUUUAUGGGGUAAUAGAAAAUGAAAAUGAUUCAGAUGAGCUUUUGCCACCUUCCAAGGAGAAGGAUUUAGAGGAACAAGCAGCUCGAUAUCACAAUCCUGAUUGGCAACCUUUACAGCCCACAGCUUUGUGCAGCCCUAAAAAAUCUAAAGGUAAGGCUCGCAGGCAACCUUUUCCUCCACCACCAAAUCAGGUUGGCUUUGCAGGAGCUGUUCGUGAAGCUACUGCAGUGGGCGAUGCCACUUUCUCCUGCUUUCCUGUCAUCUUUGACGCAGACUGGGACUAUGAGCCGUCCUCAGAACCCAUUCGCCGUGGGGUCACAGAACUCCAACGGGCCACUCCAGGAAGCGCAGGAUUGGACCUCAGUUCCACCUCCUCAACAAUACUGACUAUGGACUCCCUGCCUGUUGCGGUGCCUACUGGAGUGUAUGGACCUCUUCCUGAAGGUUUAUCCAGGACAAAGAAUAGCACAGUUGCUGCUUUUACCAUCUAUGACUGUGGGCUCGUCUAUUACAACUGAGGAACGGGCUGAUAAGGGCUUCGGCUCUAGUGACUGGACUUUCUGGAUACAACAGAACUCCGAUUCACCUAUCUGGGUCCCAGAUCGUCUGGUACAACUACAUGGCAACACCACCGCCCUACAGCCCACGUCCUACCUAUUCAUCGAUCCCGCUGAGGAUGCUCCCUCCUCCGCCAUACCAGGAGAACAUCUAUGAGGAGCUUCGUCCCUCCCCUCGGGGUCCACCUUCUCCUUCCUCUCUUACAGAUUUAGAGCUCAGAGUUGAUCAGCUGUCUGCUCGUCUCCAUCAGCUUCAGUUACAGGGACGUCCUCGUCACCGUCCUGCAUGCUCUACCAGACAAAGUCCUCCACCGACCUGGGGCCAAAUUAAGAGCCUCACCGAAAAGGCCAAGGGUCUCGUCUAUAGUCAGCAUCUCCCUAUGACUUCUGAUAGGCUGUUUGUUGCAAUGUUAGCUAUGAUUGCUACUCAGUCAUCUUCAGACAAUUAAUUCGAGCCCUCAAGAAUAUCCAACUUGAACUCCAGGCCACCAAAAUAAAAAAACAAAAACAAAAAAGGGGGGGAUGGCGAAGCCCAACUGACCUCCAAGGCUGCUUGAAAAAGUUCCAGCUUGGGGAAAAGAAGGGUGGAACACAUCGUACCCUCAUGUUUUAUUUUUUUCACGCCAUAAUGUUUACAAUUGUUACUCUGGUCACAGGAGUCAUUGUGUUUGUGA